UACGUAGGGUGCGAGCGUUAAUCGGAAUUACUGGGCGUAAAGCGUGCGCAGGCGGUCUGUUAAGACAGAUGUGAAAUCCCCGGGCUCAACCUGGGAACUGCAUUUGUGACUGUAGAGCUGGAGUACGGUAGAGGGGGAUGGAAUUCCGCGUGUAGCAGUGAAAUGCGUAGAUAUGCGGAGGAACACCGAUGGCGAAGGCAAUCCCCUGGACCUGUACUGACGCUCAUGCACGAAAGCGUGGGGAGCAAACAGG
rnacentral:rRNA from 1 species